rnacentral:rRNA from 1 species
CAACUUUCAGCAACGGAUCUCUUGGCUCUCGCAUCGAUGAAGAACGCAGCGAAAUGCGAUAAGUAAUGUGAAUUGCAGAAUUCAGUGAAUCAUCGAAUCUUUGAACGCACCUUGCGCUCCUUGGUAUUCUGAGGAGCAUGCCUGUUUGAGU